AGCAUAUCAAUAAGCGGAGGAAAAGAAACCAACAAGGAUUGCCUCAGUAUCGGCGAGUGAAGCGGCAAAAGCUUAAAUUUGAAAUCUGGCACUAGCCCGAGUUGUAAUUUGUAGAGGAUGUCUUCAGCAAAAGGCUUUGAGUCUAAGUUCCCUGGAACGGGAUAUCAUGGAGGGUGAGAAUCCCGUACAUGGUUCAUUGUCUCUUGCAUCAUGAAGCUCCUUCAACGAGUCGAGUUGUUUGGGAAUGCAGCUCAAAACAGGAGGUAAAUUCCUUCCAAAGCUAAAUAUUAGCCAGAGACCGAUAGCGAACAAGUAGAGUGAUCGAAAGAUGAAAAGCACUUUGGAAAGAGAGUUAAAAAGUAUGUGAAAUUGUUGAAAGGGAAGCGCUUGCAACCAGACUUUUCACUGUAGGUCAGAUCAUCUAGGCUCUUUGGCCUAGUGUACUCUACCUACAUCGUGUGCCAGCAUCGGUUUGUUGGUCAAGAGAAAAAAGUAGUGUGUUGCCAAUUCCUUCGGGUAUUUGGCAUGCAUCUACAGGUACGUCUUGAACCCAGACCGAGGACAGCGCUUUUUGCACGGAUGCUGGUGUAAUGGUUGUAAGCGGCCCGUCUUGAAACACGGACCAAGGAGUCCAACAUCCAUGCGAGUGUUUGGAUAUCAAGUCCGUACGCGCAAUGAAAGUGAACGCAAAUGGGAACGCAUUUAUGUGUGCACCAUUGACCGAUCUUGAUCUUUUGAAAUGGAUUUGAGUAAGAGCAUGGCUGUUGGGACCCGAAAGAUGGUGAACUAUGCCCGCGUAGGCUGAAGUCAGGGGAAACCCUGAUGGAAGGUCGCAGCGGUUCUGACGUGCAAAUCGAUCGUCAAACGUGGGUAUAGGGGCGAAAGACCAAUCGAACCAUCUAGUAGCUGGUUCACGCCG
rnacentral:rRNA from 1 species